GCCAGACUCCUACGGGAGGCAGCAGUGAGGAAUAUUGGUCAAUGGGCGCGAGCCUGAACCAGCCAAGUCGCGUGAGGGAUGAAGGAUCUAUGGUUCGUAAACCUCUUUUAUAAGGGAAUAAAGUGCGGGACGCGUCCCGCUUCGCAUGUACCUUAUGAAUAAGGAUCGGCUAACUCCGUGCCAGCAGCCGCGGUAAUACGGAGGAUCCGAGCGUUAUCCGGAUUUAUUGGGUUUAAAGGGUGCGUAGGCGGGAUGCCAAGUCAGCGGUCAAAUACGGGGGCUCAACCUGCGUCCGCCGUUGAAACUGGCGUUCUUGAGUGGGCGAGAAGUACGCGGAAUGCGUGGUGUAGCGGUGAAAUGCAUAGAUAUCACGCAGAACCCCGAUUGCGAAGGCAGCGUACCGGCGCCCGACUGACGCUGAAGCACGAAAGCGUGGGUAUCGAACAGGAUUAGAUACCCCGGUAA
rnacentral:rRNA from 1 species